AGAUUAAACUGAAGAGUUUGAUCCUGGCUCAGAUUGAACGCUGGCGGGAUGCUUUACACAUGCAAGUCGGACGGCAGCACGGGGCUUCGGCCUGGUGGCGAGUGGCGAACGGGUGAGUAAUGUAUCGGAACGUGCCCGGUAGCGGGGGAUAACUACGCGAAAGCGUGGCUAAUACCGCAUACGCCCUACGGGGGAAAGCGGGGGACCUUCGGGCCUCGCACUAUUGGAGCGGCCGAUAUCGGAUUAGCUAGUUGGUGGGGUAACGGCCUACCAAGGCGACGAUCCGUAGCUGGUUUGAGAGGACGACCAGUCACACUGGGACUGAGACACGGCCCAGACUCCUACGGGAGGCAGCAGUGGGGAAUUUUGGACAAUGGGGGCAACCCUGAUCCAGCCAUCCCGCGUGUGCGAUGAAGGCCUUCGGGUUGUAAAGCACUUUUGGCAGGAAAGAAACGGCACGGGCUAAUAUCCUGUGCAACUGACGGUACCUGCAGAAUAAGCACCGGCUAACUACGUGCCAGCAGCCGCGGUAAUACGUAGGGUGCAAGCGUUAAUCGGAAUUACUGGGCGUAAAGCGUGCGCAGGCGGUUCGGAAAGAAAGAUGUGAAAUCCCAGGGCUUAACCUUGGAACUGCAUUUUUAACUACCGAGCUAGAGUGUGUCAGAGGGAGGUGGAAUUCCGCGUGUAGCAGUGAAAUGCGUAGAUAUGCGGAGGAACACCGAUGGCGAAGGCAGCCUCCUGGGAUAACACUGACGCUCAUGCACGAAAGUGUGGGGAGCAAACAGGAUUAGAUACCCUGGUAGUCCACGCCCUAAACGAUGUCAACUAGCUGUUGGGGCCUUCGGGCCUUGGUAGCGCAGCUAACGCGUGAAGUUGACCGCCUGGGGAGUACGGUCGCAAGAUUAAAACUCAAAGGAAUUGACGGGGACCCGCACAAGCGGUGGAUGAUGUGGAUUAAUUCGAUGCAACGCGAAAAACCUUACCUACCCUUGACAUGUCUGGAAUCCCGAAGAGAUUUGGGAGUGCUCGCAAGAGAACCGGAACACAGGUGCUGCAUGGCUGUCGUCAGCUCGUGUCGUGAGAUGUUGGGUUAAGUCCCGCAACGAGCGCAACCCUUGUCAUUAGUUGCUACGAAAGGGCACUCUAAUGAGACUGCCGGUGACAAACCGGAGGAAGGUGGGGAUGACGUCAAGUCCUCAUGGCCUUAUGGGUAGGGCUUCACACGUCAUACAAUGGUCGGGACAGAGGGUUGCCAACCCGCGAGGGGGAGCCAAUCCCAGAAACCCGGUCGUAGUCCGGAUCGCAGUCUGCAACUCGACUGCGUGAAGUCGGAAUCGCUAGUAAUCGCGGAUCAGCAUGUCGCGGUGAAUACGUUCCCGGGUCUUGUACACACCGCCCGUCACACCAUGGGAGUGGGUUUUACCAGAAGUAGUUAGCCUAACCGCAAGGGGGGCGAUUACCACGGUAGGAUUCAUGACUGGGGUGAAGUCGUAACAAGGUAGCCGUAUCGGAAGGUGCGGCUGGAUCACCUCCUUU
rnacentral:rRNA from 1 species